rnacentral:rRNA from 1 species
GGAGGUAUCAGAAGUGCGAAUGCUGACAUAAGUAACGAUAAAGCGGGUGAAAAGCCCGCUCGCCGGAAGACCAAGGGUUCCUGUCCAACGUUAAUCGGGGCAGGGUGAGUCGACCCCUAAGGCGAGGCCGAAAGGCGUAGUCGAUGGGAAACGGGUUAAUAUUCCCGUACUUGGUGUUACUGCGAAGGGGGGACGGAGAAGGCUAUGUUGGCCGGGCGACGGUUGUCCCGGUUUAAGCGUGUAGGUGUGUGUUCCAGGUAAAUCCGGUUCACUUUAACACUGAGGCGUGAUGACGAGGCACUACGGUGCUGAAGCAACAAAUGCCCUGCUUCCAGGAAAAGCCUCUAAGCAUCAGGUAACAUCAAAUCGUACCCCAAACCGACACAGGUGGUCAGGUAGAGAAUACCAAGGCGCUUGAGAGAACUCGGGUGAAGGAACUAGGCAAAAUGGUGCCGUAACUUCGGGAGAAGGCACGCUGACACGUAGGUGAAGUGAUUUACUCAUGGAGCUGAAGUCAGUCGAAGAUACCAGCUGGCUGCAACUGUUUAUUAAAAACACAGCACUGUGCAAACACGAAAGUGGACGUAUACGGUGUGACGCCUGCCCGGUGCCGGAAGGUUAAUUGAUGGGGUCAGCGCAAGCGAAGCUCCUGAUCGAAGCCCCGGUAAACGGCGGCCGUAACUAUAACGGUCCUAAGGUAGCGAAAUUCCUUGUCGGGUAAGUUCCGACCUGCACGAAUGGCGUAAUGAUGGCCAGGCUGUCUCCACCCGAGACUCAGUGAAAUUGAACUCGCUGUGAAGAUGCAGUGUACCCGCGGCAAGACGGAAAGACCCCGUGAACCUUUACUAUAGCUUGACACUGAACAUUGAGCCUUGAUGUGUAGGAUAGGUGGGAGGCUUUGAAGUGUGGACGCCAGUCUGCAUGGAGCCGACCUUGAAAUACCACCCUUUAAUGUUUGAUGUUCUAACGUGGACCCGUGAUCCGGGUUGCGGACAGUGUCUGGUGGGUAGUUUGACUGGGGCGGUCUCCUCCUAAAGAGUAACGGAGGAGCACGAAGGUUGGCUAAUCCUGGUCGGACAUCAGGAGGUUAGUGCAAUGGCAUAAGCCAGCUUGACUGCGAGCGUGACGGCGCGAGCAGGUGCGAAAGCAGGUCAUAGUGAUCCGGUGGUUCUGAAUGGAAGGGCCAUCGCUCAACGGAUAAAAGGUACUCCGGGGAUAACAGGCUGAUACCGCCCAAGAGUUCAUAUCGACGGCGGUGUUUGGCACCUCGAUGUCGGCUCAUCACAUCCUGGGGCUGAAGUAGGUCCCAAGGGUAUGGCUGUUCGCCAUUUAAAGUGGUACGCGAGCUGGGUUUAGAACGUCGUGAGACAGUUCGGUCCCUAUCUGCCGUGGGCGCUGGAGAACUGAGGGGGGCUGCUCCUAGUACGAGAGGACCGGAGUGGACGCAUCACUGGUGUUCGGGUUGUCAUGCCAAUGGCACUGCCCGGUAGCUAAAUGCGGAAGAGAUAAGUGCUGAAAGCAUCUAAGCACGAAACUUGCCCCGAGAUGAGUUCUCCCUGAGACUUUAGAGUCUCCUGAAGGAACGUUGAAGACGACGACGUUGAUAGGCCGGGUGUGUAAGCGCAGCGAUGCGUUGAGCUAACCGGUACUAAUGAACCGUGAGGCUUAACCUUACAACGCCGAAG